GUUCACUUCCUAACUUGAUUCUUUGAUCCUUGUAUGGGGUGUUCUAGAUAUGGUGAAGUGUGCAUGAAGGUUAUGAGUGAUCAAUAAGGGAUCAGUCACUCCUAAUAAGGGGAGCGAACAUCCUAUGUGAUCUCAUAGGUCAGUGAUUCUGGAAGUCUUCAGUCAAAGUAGGAUGAUAAUUAGAAAAAAAAUUUUAAUAUAUCAUCAAAUAAAUCAUUGCCUUCUGAUCGAGAUACAUAUAGAUAAGUGAUUGGGUUUGAUAUGUUUAUAUACCCACAGCUCAUCUGAAAUGUUGUUUGACUGAAGGAUCGAUUUAU
rnacentral:lncRNA from 1 species